CCCAUAACCCAUAACCCAAAGAACUGAAGUCACCAUCUCGGGGAAGGAAGAACAAGCCACCCUCGCCCUGGUCGGUGGGUUGACAAGCACUUCCUGGAUUAUGAAAACUCUGCACCCCUACCUGUCGAAAACACCUGCAAGGCUCUGCAGCUCAGAGGCAUGGCUCUCAGCUCUGUGGACCAGGUCACGAGCUCUUCGUUUGGACAUCUGCAUGACCAGCUCAUCGACGUGGCUCCGGAGCUUACUGGUCCACAAAAGGAGCUCAUCUCUGUGCCGCUCCAGCUGCUGCAUGGAGAAAUGAAAACUUCCAGCAGAGAAGAA